UCACGUGGGCGAGCAGCAAAUCUACAUCUACAUGUCAUUCCCCUUCUCUCUUUCCCAUCUCGGAUCACAUGUACUCAUUCUUACAGUGUAGUUUCUUCAUGUGGAACUCAUAACACUAAAGAAUGUUACUGCGUUAUAUAAAAAUCACCACCAUUUUGAAGCGGUACUGCAAAAAAGUACCAUAUAUGAUUUUCAGUAAAACUCCUUUCACACUGACACAGCAAAAUAUCCAUUUUUGUCACAGGCCCACCCACCCACAUGCAGAUUGCUAACUCCAUUUCUCACCUGAAGGUGUGUGAUGAUGCGGCUUGUGGCAGGUGGUUUGGACAGAGCUGCUGCAGUGUGACUAACAGUUGACGCUGAACAGCAUGAACAUCCUGUGCAUCGCUGAGAUCAAUGCCUCUCCCACAGUCACCUCUCUAUUGUCCUAUACAUCCAUUCACUGACCUGUUUCGUCUGUUAUACAGGGUUUGUGAUGUAAACUGCAGUUUCCGGGAUGACACGAUGACUCAGAAAAGCUUCAUGUUUGACCUGAAAAAUUGCACUUGUUAUGAAAGAAGUCCAAUUAUCAGUGCAGUGGAGCAUUGCACCAUGACUCAGCAAAACCAAACCUAAGGCCAAAAAAAAAAAAAAAAACCUUAUAUAAACUUGGAAUCGUCACCAUUUAACCUCAUUUUUAAUUCUCUUUCCAGGCAACAUGGACAGACGCGCAGACACCCCCCCCCCCCCCCCCCCCCCCCAGCGCCAAUGACAUCACCAUCAUCCGUGGGAGCCAGGGCUGCCAUUCAUGACAGUGGAUCAAGGCGACAAAGAUAAAGCUGUGAGUAUAUCCGUGCGUGGUUUAGAAUAGUUCACAUCAUUACAUAUUAUGUGAUGUCUAAAAUAACUGCGCUUCAGUACGCAGCUGACAACGCCCUGUAAGUAUUCCUCCUAAUACAUGUGCUGUCAGUCUCGUUCGUUGUAAUGUCUGUGUUCUGCUGGAGUUUCUGUCUGCUGCUAGGGGCAUCGAGUCCGCUUUUCACGUGACAGGCAUCCAUGUCACUCUGCUGCCAUGACAACCACAUUUAAGUUUAAGGCAGACUUCCUCUUCAUAAAAAGCACGUUCUGCUCUUCUGACAGGACGCCUCAUAUACUGACAGCGUGACUCAUGGAUGCACUGUGGGGAAUGUAGCAUGCUGUUUUUUUGUCACUUGGAUAGAGUUUGACUGCACUCAACGUAUCUGCUGGUGAUGUGGAGCUGUUUUGUGGAUGCAUGGCUUUUCAUAGUACUGUUGCUUUCAUUACACUUGUAUUGUGACGUGAUUGUGACUGUGGCUACAGGCAUCAGCAUGUACUUUAUUAUAAUAUGUCACAAGAAUUUAGAUUUUUGUAGUUGUUAUUUUCCUAUUACUAAGUAGUAGUGAAUCUAUUAUUUUUGGGCCCAAACUCAAACUUUCUUCUUCACUGGAGAAUAGUAUUAUUGUUAUGUUAUGUUAUGUUAUGUUAUGUUAUGUUAUGUUAUGUUAUGUUAUGUUAUGUUAUGUUAUGUUUGAGCAUAUAUUAAAACCAAAAAAUGUUGUUGUACUUUAAACCCUUUGACACUUGAAGAUGUGCUGUAAAAUGUUAAGUGUACCCCAAAUUAAGGUUGUUUUAUAACAGUGUUUUGUUUAUUUUAUUUUAUUUUUUUUACUGCCCUUGGUUUUUCUUUAUCUAACUAUAAUAACCCUCACUUCUCCAGUAUGAGGUGAAAUAGAGCCUUUGGCACACAUGAAAUAAAAACUACAAUUGUAAACUUUA